GUACGUCUGGAAAUUAACAUAAUUAUUAAGUUGGAGAGUUUUGUGAAAAUGUCACGUAAAUACACGAAGUAAAACGAAGAAUCCGGAAGUAAGAAUCUUUUGCUGUGGGAGGUAUAUAACUAGGCAGUCAAGUCCGAUCAGACGACAGACGUUAAAUUCUUAUAUACAUGAGGAAAAGAGAAUCUUGAUAUUAUUAUUUUUUAUACAAAAUAUACAAGUAAACGACUAUUUGGAAGAAUUGUGAAUUAACAUAAAAUUGGCAGUCACACUCGAUCAGACGGAAGACUUUAAAUUUAAAUAUACACGAAGAAAAAAGAAUCUUGACAUUUUUCCUUUCUAUGAGGAAUAUACAAUUAUAGUAAACGACUAUUUGGAAGAAUUAUGAAUUAAAAUAUAAUUGGCGGAAGACUUUAAACUCGUAUAUAUACAAGAAGAAAAAGGAAUCUUGUUAUUUUUUCAUUCUAUGAAAAAUAUACAAUAGAAAACGACUAUUUGCAAGAAUCAUGAAUUAAAUUUAAAUUUCAUAGCUGAAAGUUUAAAUGAAAAUGAUCAGUUAUUUCUUAUCAUUGGUCUAUGUUUUAUUCCUCAUUGUAACCUUCAUAGUUACAAGUAAUGGAAAACGACUGACAUACGCCAGCGCGAAGGCAAACGCUGAUUUUGUUAACAUUAUCGUUAACAGCGUGACGCCAAUAAACGUUCAGCUUGGACAGAAACAAAUACGAUGUUUAAAAUCAUGUAUGGAUCAUGCCUCCUGUAUGUCUUUCUUCUACAAUUUCUUGUCCACGGAGUGUAGACAUUUUGGAGUGGAUUUUACUGAUCCAGGCGUUGGAGUUUCGGAAAAUGGUUGGAAAUAUUACACUGUAGUUAGAGAUUGCAGAAUAAACGGUUACGCAUGCCCGACUAGUACUGGUUAUACAUUUUUCGCAGAUAUCUGCUUUUGUUACAAAUACGUUGGAACAAAGUCCACCCAUUGGCAAGCUAAACAAUAUUGUGCUAACAUAAAGGGAUACCUUGUCAAGAUUAAUCGCAAGCUGAAGCAAAGAGAGAUGGAACGUCUAUUAAGUUCUUUACCAGUUCUAGACUCAAAACAAGAAAAUGGUAACAUUUUCAUCCAAGGAACACGUGUUGGAAACACAUCAAAAUGGCGGUAUGAUGAUGGACAAGAAAUUACUUUUUUUAAAUGGAAUAAAGAAAAAGGUCAGCCGCAACUUAGUACAGGAGAAAAUGUGAUAGCUAUGCAAAAAGUCUGGGGUAGUUUGUGGCAUGAUGCAACGGCAGCGUCGAAAAUUAUGUUCGUAUGUGAAGUCCUAUUGUGAACGAAGAAAUUUGGUUCUCGAGGGGUGCUUCGAUUCGCAUAUCGGAGGAA